CUAAUUAUAAAAAAAGAAGAUGUGGUAUGAUUGCCAAUGAGACAACUAUCCACAAAAGACCAAAAUGACACAGACAAUAACAACUAUAGGUCACCGUACGGCCUUCAACAAUGAGCAAAGCCCAUACCGCAUAGUCAGCUAUAAAAGGCCCCGAUAAGACAAUGUAAAACAAUUCAAACGAGAAAACUAACGGCCUUAUUUAUGUAAAAAAAAACAAAAAACAAAAAAACAAAAAACAAAAGAUGAACGAAAAACAAAUAUGUAACACAAAAACAAACGACAGCC
rnacentral:lncRNA from 1 species